AGCGAACGCUGGCGGCGUGCCUAACACAUGCAAGUCGAGCGAAGGCAUGAGUGUAGCAAUACACUUAUGUACUUAGCGGCGGACGGGUGAGUAACACGUGGAUAAUCUGCCCUGAGGACCGGGACAACUCUUGGAAACGGGAGCUAAUACCGGAUGUGACCACGAUGUCUGAGGACGUUGAGGUAAAGGGCGGCCUGCAAGGGCUAUUGCCUUGGGAUGAGUUCACGACCCAUCAGGUAGUUGGGGAGGGUAGAC
rnacentral:rRNA from 1 species